GCACAGUGGUUUAGUGGUUAGUACGUUUGCCUCGCAGGGGUUGGUGGUUCGAUCUCCGCCCCCCUGUGCG